rnacentral:rRNA from 1 species
CACGUAGGGUGCGAGCGUUGUCCGGAAUUAUUGGGCGUAAAGAGCUCGUAGGCGGUGUGUCGCGUCGGCCGUGAAAACCUGGGGCUUAACUCUGGGCGUGCGGUCGAUACGGGCAUCACUGGAGUUCGGCAGGGGAGACUGGAAUUCCUGGUGUAGCGGUGAAAUGCGCAGAUAUCGGGAGGAACACCAGUAGCGAAGGCGACACUCUGGGCCGGUACUGACGCUGAGGAGCGAAAGCGUGGGGAGCAAACAGG